CUGCAGGUUCCGGGAGGUCAGCUCCCAGCCGAGGACGUCGGAUGUCAUCGUCCUUGCUGCUUUGCCACCCCAUUCCCGUCAAUAAAGUGGUUUGAACCCAACCCUGGUGUCGGUGUGUGUCGUUGGCGACGCGCUGUCUUUGAGCCCCCGCCGAGCUUCCUCGUGGCGCCGGGGGUCAAUCUGCAGCGCUAGAGCAUGUGCUUGCGCAUAACUGGGGCCGCCUGGCCUCCCGCGGGCGGCCUUUUUAACCGCGAGCGACAAGAAGUAACCUGACUGUCCGGCUGCUAGGCUGGGCAAUUUUCCAGCUGUUUUGCCACGACAGGCCUCAAUCCGUAAUACCAAGGCUGGAAUGGCGUGUUAGGGGGGCGGUGGCUGACGGGGAUACGCGGACUCUUGAUGCGUAAGGAGUGCCCCUCUGCUCCCAUACGUUCCCCAGCCCAGCCUUCCCUGAGUGUAUCGCGCGCGCUGUGCCUUCGCCGUGAGUUCGACAUAAGUCCCAGGCUGUCGCGUCUGCCAUCAGACGCGCAGAUUUAGUUGAAGGCAGCGUGGAAUGGCGUCUGCAGGGCUGUUGUGUACUUGACAUAAACAGAUUCGGUGUGGAACUGCAUUGAGUUAACUCCUGACUAAAGGGUAAUCGACCUGUUUACAAAUAACCAUGCAGGAGUACUGACAAGCAUGGGACUAAAGCUUUGGGCAGGUUAAUCUGUCACUCCUAAACAGUUCAAAAUUAUAGGGCGGUUGUGAAGGUGAAUUAGAUUUUAUAUAUGGUUGGGGACAACAUAGACACCUAGUUACACAGUCCAGAUUCAGUGAUUGGUAAAAGAUCUUCCACAAGGGCUCCAGUGAAAGGUGCAUCAGUUCUGAGUACAGGGCAGCAAUGGUGGGCAAGGAUGCACGUAUGCGUUCACUACAUGGACAUUCGAUGAAUGAAGGUGUCCCGAAUUAACAUUAUACUAGACAAUGAAGGGUGUAAACUGCAGCCCAGGAGCACCACUGCCCUACCCCCUCAGUUACGAACUUUCACUGGAUUCUUUAAAUGUGGGCUGAAGAUAAUGGCACAUAGUUUGAAGGAUGUAGUGAGGAUGGCUUUGUAGCCUUAGGACUGGGCAGUGAUCAACGCAGUAAAUGAAAGCUGCGAUUGCCAGGUGAGGGCCCCGGUGCUCUGUACUCAUUUUAUUGUGCCCCUAUCUGAACAGGAUUCCGUAGAAAUGACUUAGAUGCUUAUC
rnacentral:lncRNA from 1 species